GCAGUAUCCUAACUGUGCUAAGGUAGCAUAAUCAUUAGUCUUUUAAUUGGAGACUGGUAUGAAUGGCUUAACGAGAAAUUGACUUUUUUUGUUAUAAUAAUUAAAUUUAAUUUUUUAGUGAAAAAGCUAAAAUGAUUCAGAAAGACGAGAAGACCCUAUAGAGUUUUAUGUUUAUUUUAUAUUUAUUUUUAUUAGAUUUUUUUUAAAUAAGUAUAUAAAAACAUUUUGUUGGGGCGACAUUUAGAUAAAAAAAACUCUUUAUUUUAAUAAUUUUUUUGAAAAUAUUAUUUGAUCCUUUAGAAAAGAUCAAAAGAAAAAAUUACCUUAGGGAUAACAGCGUAAUCUUUUUUGAGAGUUCUAAUCGACAAAAAGGUUUGCGACCUCGAUGUUGGACUAAAAUUUAGACAGGGUGCAGUAGUUCUGUUUUAAGGUCUGUUCGACCUAUA
rnacentral:rRNA from 1 species